ensembl:lncRNA
GAUGCUUGGUAUCUUUGCUUUCUCCCCUUCCUUGUGGCCCCACUGCCAAGAAUGGUAGAGAAGAUAUUUUGUCCCGUAAAUAUUCACAUGUGUGGCAGGCAGCAGUCUCCAGGUGACCCCUGAUGACCUCUACACCUAUACAAUGAACGUGAGAAAAUCUGAGAGUACGACGACUCUAGGAUUGCAGCGGGUGCCAUGGGAAAAGGGAAAGCAUCCUGGUGGACUUGACCUAAUCUGGGCAGAGUUUUCUCCGGCAGGUUUCAGAGAUCUGAAGCCAAAAAUGUGUUUGCCAUGGCGUUGCUCGCUUGAAGGCAGGAACUGUGGUUGGCUCUGGGAGUUGAGAGCAUCCUGAACUCCAAGUGAAGUCGGAGCAGAGGAGCCCACUCCGUGCGUGGACUUGGGACCUACAGAUGUGAGAUCAGAAGUUUGUGGUACUGGGGUUGGCACUGUGGCGCAGCAGGUUAAUGCCCUGGCCUACAGUGCUGGCAUCCCAUAUGGGCGCCAGUUCAAGUCCUGGCUGCUCCUCUUCUGACCCAGCUCUCUGCUAUGGCCUGGGAAAGCAGUAGAAGAUGGCCCAAGUCCUUGGACCCCUGCACCCAUGUGGGAGACCCAGAAGAAGCUCCUGGCUCCUGGCUUUGUUCGGCGCAGCUCCGGCUAUUGCAGCCAUCUGGGGAGUGAACCAGUGGAUGGAAGACCUCUCUCUGUCUCUCUCUCUCUCACUGUGUAACUGACUUUCAAAUAAAUAAAAUAAUCCUUUAAAAAUUUUAAAAUUAAAAUAAAAAAAAUUAAAAGAGGUUUGUGGUGCUGACUUUCCUAGGAACAGAAAACAGAUUCCCUGAGUUCUUCAUCAGGAAGUCCAUAGAUUCUUCCCGAUCGAUCGUGGUGCUCUCAGUUUUCACAUGGGCACCCACUUCAUCGUGGGCUCACCGUCGAGCCCACGGUCAGGCCUUGUUGUGGCAGAACUCAGUGCCUGUCUAGUGAAUGAGCAACACCUUAAGGUUCACCUGGGGUGGAGGACAGGGAGGGAUUCAUAAAUAUUUAAAAUUAUCCCAGUUCGACAGAACAACAUUAGCUCACGGCUUAUCUCAUUCAAGGCACUGGUCUGCUGUCACCGAGUUCUUUCGGUGGCUGCGGGGUUUUCAUCAAGCUGGAUUUCUCCUGGACUUCCCUGAAGGUUUCCUUCAUUGGCAGGUACUAACAGGAAAGAACCACGUGAGCCUAUGGUUUUAUUGGUGUGGUCCUGUCGACACUGUGCAGCAUGUGUUCCGUCUUCCCGGCUCCGGGAAGUGGCCAGGGGUUUCCUCGCUGGACCUGCCGAGGAAACAGCUUUGUGAGGAAAGGGAAAACGCACGGAGCCGAGGUGGUGCUCAGUGGAGCCCAGCGGAGGCCUGCACGGCGGCUGCGCCCUCGGCCCCCAGGCGCAGCGCGGAGGACAGCCUGCCCCUGCCCCUGCCCCUGCCCCUGCCCUGUGCGCGCGACCUGGCGCGGGGCCCUUCCGAGGGGCUGGGCUCGGGGCCCGGCACCCACAGGGGAGGCGGUUCACUGCCUCAGUCCCAGAAGUGGGUUCUGACGGGUGGAUUUGCGGAUGCUUUGGAGCAGACUCAAUUAUUUUGCUCAGCUCUUUCUCAUUGGGUGGGAAAGGGGUUUUUAAACCAUAAUUAA